rnacentral:rRNA from 1 species
CCUACGGGUGACAGCAGUGGGGGAUAUUGCACAAUGGGGGAAACCCUGAUGCAGCGACGCCGCGUGUGGGAAGACGGUCCUCUGGAUUGUAAACCACUGUCCCCAGGGACGAAGAUGACGGUACCUGGGGAGGAAGCUCCGGCUAACUACAUGCCAGCAGCCGCGGUAAUACGUAGGGAGCGAGCGGUGUCCGGAAUUACUGGGUGAAAAGGGAGCGUAGGCGGGGAUGCAAGUUGGGUGUCAAAACUACGGGCUCAACUGGUAGUCGCACUCAAAACUGCAGCUCUUGAGUGAAGGAGAGGCAGGCGGAAUUCCUAGUGUAGCGGUGAAAUGCGUAGAUAUUAGGAGGAACAUCAGUGGCGAAGGCGACUAUCUGGCACAUAACUGACGCUGAGGAGCGAAAGCGUGGGUAGCAAACAGGAUUAGAUACCCGAGUAGUC